rnacentral:sRNA from 1 species
CGAUCUGCUGCGGGCAGAUGUAGUGGAUAUGACUGUCGAAGCCCCCGGCGGUGAGGAUCUUGCCCUCUCCCGCGAUCACCUCGGUGCCGGGGCCGACGACGAUGUCGACGCCGGGCUGCACGUCCGGGUUGCCGGCCUUGCCGAGCCGAUGGAUGCGCCCGCGCACGAUGCCGACGUCGCAUUUCACCACGCCCCAGUGGUCGAGCACGACGGCGUUGGUGAUGACGGUGUCGACGGCGCCCUCCGCAUUCGUCGCCUGGCUCUGGCCCAUGCCGUCGCG